CUGACGAGUGGCGGACGGGUGAGUAAUGUCUGGGAAACUGCCUGAUGGAGGGGGAUAACUACUGGAAACGGUAGCUAAUACCGCAUAACGUCGCAAGACCAAAGAGGGGGACCUUCGGGCCUCUUGCCAUCGGAUGUGCCCAGAUGGGAUUAGCUAGUAGGUGGGGUAACGGCUCACCUAGGCGACGAUCCCUAGCUGGUCUGAGAGGAUGACCAGCCACACUGGAACUGAGACACGGUCCAGACUCCUACGGGAGGCAGCAGUGGGGAAUAUUGCACAAUGGGCGCAAGCCUGAUGCAGCCAUGCCGCGUGUAUGAAGAAGGCCUUCGGGUUGUAAAGUACUUUCAGCGGGGAGGAAGGGAGUAAAGUUAAUACCUUUGCUCAUUGACGUUACCCGCAGAAGAAGCACCGGCUAACUCCGUGCCAGCAGCCGCGGUAAUACGGAGGGUGCAAGCGUUAAUCGGAAUUACUGG
rnacentral:rRNA from 1 species